rnacentral:rRNA from 1 species
GACGAACGCUGGCGGCGUGCUUAACACAUGCAAGUCGAACGGUGAAAGAAGAGCUUGCUCUUCUGGAUCAGUGGCGAACGGGUGAGUAACACGUGAGUAACCUGCCCCAGACUCUGGAAUAAGCGCUGGAAACGGCGUCUAAUACCGGAUACGAGUCAGAGCUGCAUGGCUACUGUCUGGAAAGUUUUUCGGUCUGGGAUGGACUCGCGGCCUAUCAGCUUGUUGGUGAGGUAACGGCUCACCAAGGCAACGACGGGUAGCCGGCCUGAGAGGGCGACCGGCCACACUGGGACUGAGACACGGCCCAGACUCCUACGGGAGGCAGCAGUGGGGAAUAUUGCACAAUGGGCGAAAGCCUGAUGCAGCGACGCCGCGUGAGGGAUGACGGCCUUCGGGUUGUAAACCUCUUUCAGCAGGGAAGAAGCGAAAGUGACGGUACCUGCAGAAGAAGCACCGGCUAACUACGUG